GCCGUCGUGGACCGAGGCGGUCGCCCUCAUCCAAUCAUUUGUACCCAUAUCUGUAUGCGAGGGAGGCGGGGGUUCGAUUCCCCCCGGCGGCA